rnacentral:rRNA from 1 species
GUUGGGAGCUCUCCCAUAUGGUCGACCUGCAGGCGGCCGCGAAUUCACUAGUGAUUAGAGUUUGAUCAUGGCUCAGAACGAACGCUUUCGGUAUGCUUAACACAUGCAAGUCGAACGGAUUUAUUUAGAGCUUGCUUUAAAUAAAUUAGUGGCAGACGGGUGAGUAACACGUGGGAAUCUGCCCAUCAGUACGGAAUAACAUUUAGAAAUAAUUGCUAAUACCGUAUAUUCUCUUUGGAGGAAAGAUUUAUCGCUGAUGGAUGAGCCCGCGCCAGAUUAGGUAGUUGGUAGGGUAAUGGCCUACCAAGCCAAUGAUCUGUAGCUGGUUUGAGAGAAUGAUCAGCCACACUGGGACUGAGGCACGGCCCAGACUCCUACGGGAGGCAGCAGUGGGGAAUAUUGGACAAUGGG